AUUUUUGCACUACGGACCAAAGAUAAAUUUUCACCACAAUUUAAGUUUGAUGAUUAUGACAAUGAUAUAAAGGAUAAAUAAAAAUAAUAAGAACAAUAAGAUCAAGAAUAAAGAUUAGAGAUUUAUAAUUUAAUUUAUACAGAGUCCAAGAAUAUCCAAAAAUUUGAUUAGAGUUCAAGAAUAGAAUAAAUAAGAUUCAUAAUUCAUCUAUAACAUGUAAAAAGAAAUAGGAAGAUUCAGGUGAAA
rnacentral:lncRNA from 1 species